CCCAGGGGACUGUUCUGUGGGGCUGACAGGUUUCCGAGCAGACCACAUGUGGAGGAACCUCUGGUUUGGUUCUGGGCACUCCACUUUAAGAGGGAUGCUGGUAACUGUACUGUAUCCACAGGAGAGUGAAAAGAAUGAGCAGCACACACUCAGCACUGAGGAAGGAAAUGUUCAUCUGGAGAAGACAGGCCCAAGAGUGACUGCUGUCUCCACACACCUAGUGGCACUCUUGGCCAGGAGGGACUGUCCUUUUCUGUGGUUCCAAAGGAAGAACCAGGAUCAAUGAGUGGAAAUUCAACGAACACUGACUUUGGUCAGGGUGCCACUUUAAGAAUAUUUACAUUCUCAAUUAUAAUGUGCAGAAAUCCCCGUGGUUUUCCAAUCCUGACUACAUUCCCCAACAUUAACUGCUUCUUUACAGAGACAGUAAUAAAUAUGGUUGUUUACACCUCUGUACCUCAUAAAGACCUCCAAGCAUUCUGUACACCAGCUCAAGAUGACUUGCUUGAAAUGGAAAAAGGCUGUUUUCAGCAGUAGUUAGCCCCUAUACUGGCAGUGUUUCACAGAAAAGGAAAGUGAAGCUUGGAAAAGUGAAACCACUUGCUCUAAGUGGCAGGAAGAGGUGGCGUUGAACCCCAGGGCUCUUGCAUUCAAAAGCUCUUUUGGAAAGAGAAAAGGAAAAGUGCAGCUGACUGAACUGUGAAGCAAAGGAGCUAAGAAGCCUGGAUGCCAACCCCAAGGGUCCUGAAGAGUCCCAUUGAGGAGCUCCUUACAGCAGAAAGCCCAUUUCUCAGAGGCACAUACAUGGUCCAGAGCCAAGAAGGUCCAGAAAGCAAGACUGCAUCCUUCACCAAGGAAGGUGAUUGUGAUGUGGACACUUCAAGGGGGAACAAAAAAAAAUCUUCCUUUGAAAACCUAACAUUGGCUCUGCCAAUUCAAUUUCACCGAGGUCCUUUGAGAACUGAGUUCAAAGGUUCUCUACAGCUUCCAUUUACUUUGGCAUAAGAUUUAACAGAAAAAGAAUUAAGGGAGAAUUUAUAUGGGCCAGGCUGUUUUCCAAAUCUCAGACUGCUAAAAGUUAUUUAGAAUUUGCUUUAACUUGCAAUCCUAUGUAAAGUGGUUCAGAUGUAAAUGCUUUCCGUGUGGCCUGAGGCAAUCUAGGUUUCCUCAAAUGCACAUGUGCCAUUCGAAUAUUAAAGAUUUUGAUUGGAAAUCUCAAAGUACAUUGGGUUCCUCUUGAUUAGAGACUGCUGUUACUUUAUGCGACAUUGGGUCAGAGGAGGAGAAAUAAAACAUACUGCCUUCAUUUGGGCAUUAUAUUCUCACAGUAGCUCUAACAUAAACAAACUUCACAGGCUGAGAGAAGGGCAUUUGCUCCUUUAAAUUGAGUAUGUAAUGUAAAUAAAUGUCUUCUAAGAAAGGAUGGCUGAAACUUGAUUCUGAGUCUGAACCUAUACAAGGG
rnacentral:lncRNA from 10 species